UACGAAGGGGGCUAGCGUUGCUCGGAAUCACUGGGCGUAAAGCGCACGUAGGCGGAUUGCUAAGUCAGGGGUGAAAUCCCGGGGCUCAACCCCGGAACUGCCUUUGAUACUGGUAGUCUCGAGUCCGGAAGAGGUGAGUGGAAUUCCGAGUGUAGAGGUGAAAUUCGUAGAUAUUCGGAGGAACACCAGUGGCGAAGGCGGCUCACUGGUCCGGUACUGACGCUGAGGUGCGAAAGCGUGGGGAGCAAACAGG
rnacentral:rRNA from 1 species